rnacentral:rRNA from 1 species
GUCCACGCCGUAAACGAUGGAUACUAGCUGUCCGGCGCAAGCUGGGUGGCUAAGCGAAAGUGAUAAGUAUCCCACCUGGGGAGUACGUUCGCAAGAAUGAAACUCAAAGGAAUUGACGGGGGCCCGCACAAGCGGUGGAGCAUGUGGUUUAAUUCGAUGAUACGCGAGGAACCUUACCAGGGCUUAAAUGUGGUCUGACAGCUUUAGAGAUAGAGUUUUCUUCGGACAGAUCACAAGGUGCUGCAUGGUUGUCGU